UCGUGUCGUGAGAUGUUGGGUUAAGUCCCGUAACGAGCGCAACCCUUGUCCUUAGUUACCAGCACGUUAUGGUGGGCACUCUAAGGAGACUGCCGGUGACAAACCGGAGGAAGGUGGGGAUGACGUCAAGUCAUCAUGGCCCUUACGGCCUGGGCUACACACGUGCUACAAUGGUCGGUACAAAGGGUUGCCAAGCCGCGAGGUGGAGCUAAUCCCAUAAAACCGAUCGUAGUCCGGAUCGCAGUCUGCAACUCGACUGCGUGAAGUCGGAAUCGCUAGUAAUCGUGAAUCAGAAUGUCACGGUGAAUACGUUCCCGGGCCUU
rnacentral:rRNA from 1 species